rnacentral:lncRNA from 1 species
UUGCAGCUCCCCUGAUUAGGCUUUGAGGGACUGUCUCUGCAAAAGCAGAGGAAGGAAGGACCAUGCAGCUGUGUAGAGCUGGAAUUGAUCCCUAAGGCUGGACGUGGGGCGGGAAAGCCCCAGGGCACUAAGACAAAGGGGGAAGGCAUGAAUGCCACGGACGUAUGUGGAGAUCAGAGGACGGCGUUCACGAGUCCUUCAAAAACAGGGCACUAGAAGAGUGCUCAACAUAGGACAGACUGGGCUACAGAGCUACACCCCAGCCCACCAUAAGAGUUUUAAUCGAGAAGGUUCUGAGGGGAAUUUCCCAACAAGGAAGUCAGCGACAGGGUUGGCUGAAGCGCAAGCUGAAGGAGCAGAAGAGCAGGUUCUGUUCUGAGCCCUGGUGCUGCUAGCAAAGUGGUGACCCUGAAGCCAUUUCUCCAGGAG